rnacentral:miRNA from 1 species
CAAUGAUGAUGAUGAUGAUGAUGAUGAUGAUGAGAAGGAGGAGGGUGAAGAUUUAUCAUCAUCAACAGCAGCAGCAGCA